rnacentral:rRNA from 1 species
UACGUAGGGUGCAAGCGUUAAUCGGAAUUACUGGGCGUAAAGCGUGCGCAGGCGGUGCUGCAAGACAGGCGUGAAAUCCCCGGGCUUAACCUGGGAACUGCAUUUGUGACUGCAUCGCUGGAGUGCGGCAGAGGGGGAUGGAAUUCCGCGUGUAGCAGUGAAAUGCGUAGAUAUGCGGAGGAACACCGAUGGCGAAGGCAAUCCCCUGGGCCUGCACUGACGCUCAUGCACGAAAGCGUGGGGAGCAAACAGG